CGGCUUCUGAAAGAGGAUGAACCGGCUUCUGAAAGAGGAGCGGGAUUUCCUUAGGGAAAAAGGUCUCAACCCUGUGAAGACUGGCCCUUCAACAACUUCUAAAGGGUCCCACGAAAGGAUGGUUAAGGAUUCUUCAGACUCUUCGGCAUCUGACUCUGAGACAGACUCCUCCUCCUCUGAAGGAGGGAAGAGGAAGAGGAAGAAGAAGAAGACGAUCAAGAAAACCCGCACAGCAUUUGGGAAAAGAGAAAUGAGCAAGAAAAGAACACGUGCAGCCACUGGAGUAGCGGGAGCCAGCAACGGCACCGCGUUGACCUCCUCACCAACUCAAGUUAAAAAUUCCUCAAGCUCGUUUGAAAGUAUCCAAGACCUCGUGUCUUCCUCCAAAAAAAAAAGGAAAGCAAAAGCUUAAAACAUUUUGUAAAUCAACUCCACUGGAGCAGCAGCUAGACUCCGAAGGCCCUUCACACAGCCGUGUUCGGAUUUGGAACACCAAAGGGGUUAUUUUAAGAUAUGUGGCCGCCCUGGAAGCAUUCAGAAGAGGGAAGUCCAUGAAGGCAGCAUUCGAUGCUGUCGGGGUGGACCGAAACAGGGUGGCGAGGACUGCCAUUGUGGCAGAACUGCAUCUGGCAGCACCAGAAGUGUUCGAGUCCAUCAGCUGGAAUGAGCGAGUGGAAUCACUCUCCACCUUUAUUGCUAGGUGCCGUUCACUUGUGACACCAGAAAUGAAAGAUAAAAUAAGCAAGAUGAAAACGGAUGGGGACUUGCUCCCGAUGGCCGUCCAUUAAAAUUUCACAUCAAAGUCACAUCACAGUUGUCUACAGCAG
ensembl:lncRNA